rnacentral:tRNA from 1 species
GCGGGGGUUGCCAAGCCUGGUCAAAGGCGCAGGGCUUAGGACCCUGUCCCGAAGGGGUUCGUGGGUUCAAAUCCCACCCCCCGCA